rnacentral:lncRNA from 1 species
CAAUUUCCUCUUUACCCUUCUAAAAUCAUCUAAUUUCAUAAAUACCCAUCUAAAAAUUGAAAUAUCAUGUAUACCCCCCAAAUUUGAAAAACUUUAAAAAAUAACCUUUCCAUCCAAAUUAAAGUUAAUUAGUAUUUAAAUUCCAACUUUACCCCUCUAAUAUUUCAAAAUUAAUAAACUCUAUCUAGACUAAAAAUUUAGUAAAAUUCAAUUGAUUUUAAUUUUUUUUUUUCAUUUUAAUUAAAAAUAAAUAUUUCUAUUUGGAAUAAAUUCUAGUUAAAUUUAAUUUUAUUUUGCUUCAUUGUUAAUUUAACUACAAUUUAUUCCAAUUAGAAAUAUUUGUUUUCAACUGCAAUUAAUAUUUUUUUAAAAUUAAAAUCAAUUGAAUUUUACUUAGUUAAUUUUGAAAUAUAAUAGAGGAUAUUUAUGAAAUAAAAUAAUUGACCAUUGAAUAUAUAAGAGGGGUAAAGUUGGAAUUUAAAUACUAAUUAGCUUUAAUUUAGAUAGAAACAUGAUGGUAAGGUUAUUUUUGAAAGAUUUUCAAAAUUCGGGGGUAUACAUGAUAUUUUAAUUUUUAGAUUGGUAUUUAUGAAAUUAGAUGGUUUUAUAAAGGUAUAGGGGAAAUUUUCCCUUAAAAAAAUAGAUUAUUUUGUGUUUUGAGUUAU